UUGAAAGGGAAACGAUUGAAGUCAGUCGUACUUGCGGGUAAUCAGCCUUUUGGGUGUGAUUCUGUGGAGCGUGGGGAGUUAAACGCCUUCAUGCCUGCGUAUUCGUGCACUUUGGGUGUACUUGCCCGUGUGGUAGGUUAACAUCAAUUUUGAUCAUCAUAAAAUGGCUGGAGGAAUGUAGCUUCGAUUUCGUAUUGAAGUGUUAUAGCCUUCAGCAGAUGUGAUGAUCGGGAUUGAGGAUUGCAACGGAUACCCUUCGGGGCUACCUGUCUGAUCUCUGAUUGUUGCUCUGGUGCCGAAAGCGUGCUUACGGUUAUCAAAGUCGAUGGUCAACAGGUUAGAACGGGUUAAAUUCGUUAAGGAUGUUGACGUA
rnacentral:rRNA from 1 species